CUAUUACUCCCUCCAUUCCGAAUUACUUGUUGCAGGUAUGGAUGUAUCUAAAUGUAUUUUAGUUCUAGAUACAUCCAUUUCUACGACGAGUAAUUUGAAACGGAGGGAGUACAUU
rnacentral:pre_miRNA from 1 species